AGCUGGAGGAAAAACUUAUCUCCUUCCUACGGGCAGGGCACAAAAGAGAUAAAAAAGCAAUUCCAAAGCCAAAGCUUGAAGCCUACCUGUCUAGCCUUCAGCCACCAACCCUCCCUGGCUAAAUCUGACAGUGUCAUAAGCCUGGGGCUGCACCAGGUUCUCCUUGGAGAUUUCCUUCAACAGCUCCACAUGUUCUGCAUUCAGAGACACACAGCCACCAAGUCUGUGCACACCCUGUGCUCCUGCUGGGGUCACCAUCGAGGUGCUCUGUGCCCAUUCUCACCUUCAGAACCUUCAGAGCCCUGAAAAGGCCACGUGCCUGAAGGUGGUCUCGAUUUAUGCUCAGGGGAUGAAUCCUCCUGCUGGGGUGGAGUAGCUGCAAGUUCACCUCCCUCAGCUGCCUGAAGCACUGCCUGCUGCCCCCAAGGCUCUGCAGCUGAAGGGAGAGUAACUGGGCAGAUCUCAGACAGCAACUCCAGGAUUUCAUAAAUGGUAACAGAUCAUGGGGUGAGCUUUGGGAGACGUGAGAGCACCUUAUUUCAGUCAGCCUUAUUUCAGCAUAAAACCCCAGCUGCUUCUUCAACGCUGCACUUUUUGGAGAAGCCACUGGAGGGAAACCUCCACUACAAAACCAAACCCUGCUGCAGCCUGCUCCAGCACUUCCAGCCUCGUCCCUCCUGCUCCCUCUCGGAUGGAAGACUCCAAACACAUUUGUUAUUACAGUUGUAGAUUAUUUCUGGUUUAAAAUCAAAGAAGUAAAUUGACAUAAGGUUAUUGUUUCUA
rnacentral:lncRNA from 12 species